AUUGAACGCUGGCGGCAGGCCUAACACAUGCAAGUCGAGCGGAUGAAGGGAGCUUGCUCCUGGAUUCAGCGGCGGACGGGUGAGUAAUGCCUAGGAAUCUGCCUGGUAGUGGGGGAUAACGUCCGGAAACGGGCGCUAAUACCGCAUACGUCCUGAGGGAGAAAGUGGGGGAUCUUCGGACCUCACGCUAUCAGAUGAGCCUAGGUCGGAUUAGCUAGUUGGUGGGGGAAAGGCCUACCAAGGCGACGAUCCGCAACUGGUCUGAGAGGAUGAACAGUCACACUGGAACUGAGACACGGUCCAGACUCCUACGGGGGGCAGCAGUGGGGAAUCUUGGACGAUGGGCGAAAGCCUGAUCCAGCCCUGCCGCGUGUGUGAAGAAGGUCUUCGGAUUGUAAAGCACUUUAAGUUGGGAGGAAGGGCAGUAAGUUCAUACCUUGCUGUUUUGACGUUACCAACAGAAUAAGCACCGGCUAACUUCGUG
rnacentral:rRNA from 1 species